UACGUAGGGGGCAAGCGUUGUCCGGAAUCAUUGGGCGUAAAGCGCGUGUAGGCGGCCCGAUAAGUCCGCUGUGAAAGUCCAGGGCUCAACCCUGGGAUGCCGGUGGAUACUGUCGGGCUCGAGUCCGGAAGAGGAGUGUGGAAUUCCUGGUGUAGCGGUGAAAUGCGCAGAUAUCAGGAGGAACACCAAUAGCGAAGGCAGCUCGCUGGGACGGUACUGACGCUGAGGCGCGAAAGCGUGGGGAGCGAACAGG
rnacentral:rRNA from 1 species